GUGCUUGCUACGGUGGUACAUAUACUAAAAUUGGAUCGAUACAGAGAAGAUUAGCAUGGCCCCUGCGAAAGGAUGACAUGCAAAUCUGUGAAGCGCUCCAUCUUUUG
ensembl:snRNA U6 U6 spliceosomal RNA